CGCACAUUGCGCCCGCCAGUAUUCUGGCGGGCAUGCCUGUCUGAGCGUCAUUUCAACCCUCAGGUCCCACUGGACCUGGUGUUGGGGCUCGGCCCGCCUCCCCGUGGGGAGGGCCGUCCCCUAAAUCUAGUGGCGGACCCGCUGUGGCCUCCUCUGCGUAGUAGUGAUACCCCGCAUGUGGAGUGCAGCGAGCCCCGGCCGUUAAACCCCCCAACUUCUCAAGGUUGACCUCAGAUCAGGUAGGAAUACCCGCUGAACUUAA
rnacentral:misc_RNA from 1 species